UCAAGUGGUCAGGAUGAUUAUUGGGCUUAAAGCAUCCGUAGCCGGCUCUGUAAGUUUUAGGUUAAAUCUGUACGCUCAACGUACAGGCUGCCGGGAAUACUGCAGAGCUAGGGAGUGGGAGAGGUAGACGGUAUUCGGUAGGAAGGGGUAAAAUCCUUUGAUCUAUUGAUGACCACCUGUGGCGAAGGCGGUCUACCAGAACACGUCCGACGGUGAGGGAUGAAAGCUGGGGGAGCAAACUGGAUUAGAUACCCGGGUAGUCCCAGCUGUAAACUAUGCAAACUCAGUGAUGCAUUGACUUGUGGUCAAUGCAGUGCUGCAGGGAAGCCGUUAAGUUUGCAGCCUGGGAAGUA
rnacentral:rRNA from 1 species